GACGAACGCUGGCGGCGUGCUUAACACAUGCAAGUCGAACGGAAAGGCCUGCUUUCCCUUGUGGAUUGCGGGUACUCGAGUGGCGAACGGGUGAGUAACACGUGAGUGAUCUGCCCCCAACUUGGGUAUAAGCCUGGGAAACUGGGUCUAAUUCCCGAUAGGACUGCAGGGUGGUGCCUGUGGUGGAAAACGAUUUUCUAGUUGUUGGGGAUGAGCUCGCGGCCUAUCAGCUUGUUGGUGGGGUAAUGGCCUACCAAGGCGGCGACGGGUAGCCGGCCUGAGAGGGUGGACGGCCACAUUGGGACUGAGAUACGGCCCAGACUCCUACGGGAAGCAGCAGUGGGGAAUAUUGCACAAUGGGCGGAAGCCUGAUGCAGCGACGCCGCGUGGGGGAUGACGGCCUUCGGGUUGUAAACUCCUUUCGACCGCGAGGAAGCCACCUGGUUGGAAGGGUGGUGACGGUAGUGGUAGAAGAAGCACCGGCUAACUACGUG
rnacentral:rRNA from 1 species